rnacentral:rRNA from 1 species
AUGGCGUCCACGGCGGCGAGGCGGCUCAGGGAGCUGCAGGGGCAGUCGGGGAACAAGACGUGCGUCGACUGCGCGCAGAGGAACCCGCAGUGGGCCAGCGUCUCCUACGGCGUCUUCAUGUGCCUCGAGUGCUCCGGCAAGCACCGGGGCCUCGGCGUGCACAUCAGCUUCGUCCGCUCCGUCACCAUGGACUCCUGGACCGAGCCGCAGCUCCGCAGGAUGGAGGCCGGGGGCAACGACCGCCUCAACGCCUUCCUCACCGCGCGGGGCGUGCCCAAGGACACGCCCCACAUCCCCAAGUACAACUCCAACGCCGCCGCCGCCUACCGCGACCGCAUCGUCGCCCUCGCCGAAGGCCGCGCGUGGACCGACCCGCCCGUCGUUAAGGAGACGCCCGGAUCUGGCGCGCCCGCCCCCGCCAGGAGGCCGCCCUUGCCCGCCGGAGGAGGGGGUGGAGGCGGUGGCGGCGGAUGGGACGAUUGGGACGACGAGGUCCGUCCGGAUAUGCGUAGGAACCAAUCGGCCGGAUCGUUUGCUGGCGCUGGACCGGAUUCGGGGAGACAGCCGACGAGGUCCAAGUCCACUCAGGACAUAUACACCAAGCAGGAGCUUGAGGCGUCGUCGGCCAGCAAGGAGGAUUUUUUCGCUAGGAGAAUGGCGGAGAACGAGUCCAAGCCUCAGGGGAUCCCUCCCUCUCAGGGCGGCAAGUACGUCGGCUUCGGAUCCACCCCGCCGCCGUCGGCGAAUAGGAACAACAACGGUGCUGCCCAGGGCGAUGUCAUGCAGGCUGUUUCCCAGGGAUUUGGACGCCUUUCGCUUGUUGCAGCAUCUGCUGCCCAAUCUGCUGCUACUGUUGUCCAAGUUGGCACAAAAGAGAUUCAGUCAAAGAUGAGGGAAGGGGGUUAUGAUCAGAAGGUGAACGAAACUGUCAAUGUUGUAACCAAUAAAACUGCAGAGAUAGGAAGCAGAACCUGGGGGAUUAUGAAAGGAGUGAUGGCAUUGGCCACACAAAAGGUAGAGGAGUAUGCCAAGGAAGGGGGAGUGGGCGGUGGCUGGGGUGAUGAUUGGCAACAAAGGGAGCAGCAGAACAACAGCAACGAGCCUUACCGCAGGUAUGAGCAGGAGACCAGCAACGGCAACGGCUGGAAUUCUCCGCAAGAUGGAUCAGCUAAGAACCAGAACCAUAAUUCCAAUUCUUGGGAUGAUUGGGAUGACCAAGACAAGAAGGAUGAGCCUGCCAAGACAAGACAGAGCAGCGAUUCGUGGGCCGGCUGGGACGAUGCGAAAGAUGACGGUUUUGAUAGUUACAGCCAUCACAGCCCCGCCAACAAGGGUGGGAGCAAUCAGAAUGGAACUGCUGGCGGGUCAUAUUGGGCCGACGGCGGCUUCCGCUGA